rnacentral:rRNA from 1 species
UACGUAGGGUGCGAGCGUUAAUCGGAAUUACUGGGCGUAAAGCGUGCGCAGGCGGUUAUAUAAGACAGUUGUGAAAUCCCCGGGCCCAACCUGGGAACUGCGUUUGUGACUGCAUAGCUAGAGUACGGUAGAGGGGGGUGGAAUUCCGCGUGUAGCAGUGAAAUGCGUAGAUAUGCGGAGGAACACCGAUGGCGAAGGCAGCCCCCUGGACCUGUACUGACGCUCAUGCACGAAAGCGUGGGGAGCGAACAGG